rnacentral:misc_RNA from 1 species
GUCAAAUCCUCCGCAAAGAGCUGCACUUUAUAGCCAUGCAGUGUAAUUACCGUCAAGAAAACAGGAAAAAUCAUAAAGGUUCUCCUUCAUUUCAAGAUCAUCCACAUCUUCCGAGAGGCCAGUUCAGUCGCUUACUCAUUGACUAAGUAAGAACUCUACCGGGCAACAGAUUUUAUUGCUUCUUUUUGAUGACCAGCCGCUACUUUUAUUUGUUGCGUUUGCUUCUUUGUUGGUGAUGUGAAUCUUUUAGCUUGCUUAUUUGUCCUGUUUUGAUGAUAUGGCCAUUAUAGCCUAUCUGUUUGGUUUGUGUGCUGUGUUCCUUGUUAGGCUCGUU